rnacentral:rRNA from 1 species
AAUAUUGCACAAUGGGGGAAACCCUGAUGCAGCAACGCCGCCUGAGUGAUGACGGCCUUCGGGUUGUAAAGCUCUGUUUUCAGGGACGAUAAUGACGGUACCUGAGGAGGAAGCCACGGCCAAAUACGUGCCCGCCGCCGCGGUAAUAAGUAGGUGGCGAGCGUUGUCCGGAUUUACUGGGCGUAAAGGGAGCGUAGGCGGAUUUUUAAAUGAGAUGUGAAAUACUCGGGCUUAACCUGAGUGCUGCAUUUCAAACUGGAAGUCUAGAGUGCCGGAGAGGAGAAGGGAAUUCCUAGUGUAGCGGUGAAAUGCGUAGAGAUUAGGAAGAACACCAGUGGCGAAGGCGCUUCUCUGGACUGUAACUGACGCUGAGGCUCGAAAGCGUGGGGAGCAAACCGGAUUAGAUACCCUGGUUGUCCACGCCGUAAACGAUGAAUACUAGGUGUAGGGGUUGUCAUGACCUCUGUGCCGCCGCUAA